GUAACACCCCCAAAAUACCACCUGCGGAAACCCCCGCGAGGCGUGUUACACAUCAGAGUCUGAGCCACCAAUCACAUUGAACCAAUAGAAAAUACUUAAUAAAACAUGUUAUCAAACCAAUAAUGUCGAGUAGCGGAAGCAUAUAAUAAAUUGUUUUGUAAUCGUUUCAUAAUAAUUCAAAACCAAAGUGUCAAUACUAGCAAUCUCAUAGCUUCGAUCCAUGACAACUCCAGCACUCCCAGAUAGCAAGUCCACACUCCACAGUUAACGACCUACAAGCAUGCAACAAGUGUGUCAGACUACGCUGGUGAGUUCAAGGUAUUGCGUACGUGUGAAGUUACCGGGUAUUAGUUAAGUCAACUCGUUGUAUGUUUCUGAUAUCGUUGUUAAUUCGUUUGUUGUACCGUAUGCAGCGUCAAUGAUGGGAAUGCCUAACUCCAAUGCCCCACAGGCAUUGGUAAAGUCAAGGUAUCAAACAACCUUGACCAACUGUAGGAGGUCUUAUAUCCGCGUUACAAGUUGUCCCAGUAAUUAGUUCACGCCCGUCCUUACGGCCCGGUGUGAGGGUGCCAAACCUAAUAGCGCUAUCAACUAAUUACCCCAUUGCCUUACAGGCAAUCCGGUAAAUGAUUGUUUCUAUGUUUCAGUUGUUUACCCCAAGUUUUCCUUCCAAAUGUUUAUCAGAUGUCCCAAACCACCGGGACGCAUGCUU
rnacentral:lncRNA from 1 species